CACCUUAUUUGGCUAAGGCCAGGAUCAUGCGAUGAUCGUAAGCUGCUUGAGCAUAAGUGGACCUAUGGACAGUGCCCACGUGGUGAUCCAGGAUUGGCUGCCCAGGGCUACUUAAUGACUGGGAGGAGCUUGCCGGGGGAGAGAAACUAUUGUAACAAGGUCCUGAGUAAACUGCUUGCAAGAAGAGCUCUGGUGUUGCGUCUUCCUUGCUGGUCGAGGUGGUCGGGACAAGUGGUGGCUCAUACAGGGAUUCUCCUCUCCUCUUCCUGGAGCACAGAACUUGUAGCAGUCAGGGGGUGCACCGGAUCAUUUGGACCCUAUUUGGGUACCGGAGUGCUUGGUGAGAAAAGUACAAGUGCAGAGGAAUGACAAGCAAGAUGAAGCCUCAGAUUGUGAUCCUACUGAUGGUGACGGUCCUGAUGUCCCCGUUGUUGAUCCAGGCCAAUGAACAAAUCUUGUGGGCCAUAGCAAAAGCAUGGCCAAUUCCUAUACCUGUUCAUUCUACGUCAAAAGUUUUACCUGUCUUUUUUUCCACUAGUUGUGUAUUAGGCUUACCCUGCGUAAAUUUAGACCCUAGCAUGGCUAUGAAUAAUGCAGCUGAUGUUCCUCUUCAAGGAGCACUAUGUUUUUCUCUUGAAAAUAAUUCUAACCCAUGUAUAUGGUUGAAGAAUGGCUCGGUGGGUAACUGGCUUGACCCGUUGACCGAUAGUCAUGUGCCUUUUGCCAUGCUCGUGAAAGCACUGAAAACAAUAAAUACGGGUGCUUCCUCAGGCAUGGGCAGCGGUAAAAAUGGUAGCAAUGCCACAAAUAUUAUUACAUUAUUGAUGUUGAUGGAAGGGCUUCGGCUGUCAAGUUCACGCUUUGGAUUAUGAAAUUCCAUUGCUCGACAAGUAUUAACUUAUUGUGUCCCUAAUUUAGGUUACCCCCCUCAUUGAACACCAUGUCAAAGCCCAGAUCAUAAGCCAAAGCAGAUUGCACCAGGUUUUGAAUUUACCCCUCCUUUAGGAAGAUAUUCCUUUAAUCUUGCUAAUCGGACUAAUCAGAAAACUAAUAAGAAAAAUACUUGGCCCUGGUUUCAAUGGAUUCUUUCUAAUGAAAGAGGGGCCUUUUCAUCCUUAGAGCCUUUUGCUGCCCUUCGUAAUUUGACUGUCUGGCUACUUAACAUCUCUGCCAGCCGAGAUACGAAGGGAGUUCUUUCAAAUGUUACUACAAAUAAAAUGAUGAACAACCUUCCAUUUCUGCCAGUCCAGUGUGCUUAAAGGCACCCUUCUUCUUUUUGCUGACUAAUAUUACCAAUGCCACAGAGGAUGUGAUCUAUUGUAAUUCCUUCAAGGCAGCUUGCCUCGCAAGUCAAUGCUGGAAUGGUACUUAUAACACAGCUGUGGUGAUGAGAGUUCCCACAUAUGUUCUCAUCCCAGUCAGAGUUGAUACCGGUACCUUCCCGAUCACUCAGUUGCUCAGAACAAAACAAGACUCUGGGAUAACAGCAGCCCUAGUCACCGCAAUUGCUGUAUCUGCUGCAGCUGCCAUGACAGCUGCUGUUGCCAUGGCUGCAACAACUCAGAUUGCAGAGACAGUUAAUGAAAUCGUGGAGAGGACAGCCUCCACAAUGACCACUUUGAAAUCUAUCGAUGGUCAUUUAAAAGCUGGCAUUUUGACAGUAAACCAAAGAGUAGACCUCUUGCAAGAGCAAGUGGAUGAUUUAGUAACCUUAACCAGUGUAGGAUGUAUUCGUUCCCUCGCCUCUUUAUGCAUUACUUCCAGAUUGGCUGAGAAUUUUACAAAGAAUGGUAACCUGAACCGGCAGCUGAGCGCACACCUUCAGGGAAACUGAAGCAAGGAGUUCGAGAACCUGACGGACACCUUGAUCAACCAGAUUAUUUCCCUGAAUGCCACACAGCUGGAAUUACCUACUGCUGAUGCUUUUCUUAAUAUGCUGAAAUGAACUUUUAGUUAUUUUAAGGAGUGGGUGGGAAUAGGAGCCCUGACAGGCCUAAUGGUACUUGCCUCCCUGGUAUGUCUGUGGUGUAUUUGUCGCAUGAGGGCCUCACAACAUCACAAUGCAGCAAUAAUCAUUCAAGCCUUCAUGGCUAUUGAAGCAGGACAGUCCCCCCAAGUUUGGUUAAUUACUUUAAAAGAUAUAUUAGCAGGGGAUUUGAGACUUGCACACUGCACUUGAGGGUAAUUACAUCUACCUCAAGAAGAGCAAGUCUGAUUGCAUGUGGGUCGGUGCCUAACUCCCACCUCUGUAAAAAGGGCACCAAGCAGGUCUAGUGUUUUCUGGGUGGAGGACACCUGGAUAAACAAUAGUACAUGCUUCAUUUUUAACAGAGAUCAGACCUCUACUCUUGCCUG